UUAUCCAGCUUGCAGCACUGACGACAUCGGCCGAUGGUGCAAGAACUAACAGAUAUGGCAAAACUAGUAGAAGGUAGAUAUUUUUUGCAGCCCAGGCAAAAAUAGAUGUUGUGAUAAAGCUUCAUUGGAUCAGCUGGUACCUGCAAGAAUGCUAUUAUGAGGUGUUUUUUUUUCUUUUCAUAAUGAAUCAUAAGCCUAGCCCAGGGGUUUCUAACAUCAUUGCUUUCAGUGGAUGAAACUGAACUAAAACAGAAGAUGAGCUGAAGGGUUUUUAGAUGAGGAACUGAUCUGGAUUCAUCUGCAAAUGUGAAAUAUUGUGAAGAUAACAGAGAUGGGUUGCUCUGGUUUGGACCGGUUCUAUAGAACCAGUAGUAAAACCGGCGGGAGGCUCCACCCACUGACCCGGAUGUCAUCAUAGGCAAUCUGCGCAAUCCCAUUGCGAACUGGUAGUAAAGGACCUUAUUCUUCUCACCACUGAACUGUAUCUUGUCGAAGAAGGCCCAGUGCUCAUGUUUGUCAAGAUCCUUGUUGGAGAUUUGAAAAGGAAUAGGCCACUGGAAACUUAAACACGAGAUAAGAAAAGGAUUUCCAUUAAUUAUCUGACACGUUACAACUUCAAACUAUCCAGCAGCAAUAGGAUCUACACAGGAAAGUCAGACCAAAACCAAAUUCUUCUUGAAAUGCAACUCUACCAGUUUCUUUACUUGAAGAGAAAACAGGAUGAUGGGUGAAAAGAAAUUCUCAUCAAAUUUAUGAGUAUACAUAAAGACUUUUAAUAACCAUAUCUAAUGAGCCAAUUUUACUGCCAGACAUGCAUAAAGCUCACAAAUCAUAACUCCAACUGAACCAUGUGGAUUACUAAACCCCAUUUAAUACACAAAGAAUUGAAAUCCAGUACUGGAAGUUUUUCAAAGAUAUCCAAGCAGAGCUGAACUGUGAAAACUGGAAUGAAUACACUGUCCUUUUGCCAGCUCUACAGAAUGGGCCAAGUCAAGAAACAAGAAGAAAGACAAUAUAAUUAAUAUUUGCUAUAGUAACAGGAUCUUGAAGCCUGGCAGCUUUUGUCCUUCUUUCACUCUUAUAUGAACCUUAAGACACAAGGGGGUUAUCCUGACUUUCUCACUCCUUUCCAAGCAAAGUUUCUCAAAGUUAUGACAUAGUUUCUUCAAGGCUCUCUCCAUACUGCUCUACCUAUUAUCAAAAGCAUCAAGACCAUAAUUCUUACAUGAUUUUGAGAAGCUUUUAAAAAUGCUAGUUUCAAAAAACUUCUUAUUGAAAUUCCAUUUUCAUCUAAAAACUGAACCAUUCUUUUUCUUCAACCAAGUGACAAACAGAUCUCUUACUGGUAUAAAUUAUCAGGGUCCAUGUCAGGAUAGUAGUCACAAUAAUCAAUCACUAUUUAUGAAGCAACAAGUUUAAAAAAACUGACCUUCAAGUUACAGGGAAUCAGAUUCACCUGCAAGCUAUUUAUAUCUUUGUAUUGCAAUGAGUUACUCUGUCCCAGGAGUGUCAAACUCAAUUUCAUUGAGGGCCACAUGAGGGCUAUGGUUGACCUGGGGGAGGGGGGGGCAGGUGUGGCCGACUGGGCGGGCCAACUUGACACCACUCCCCAAACCUAUGGGGAAUGAUCCAUUGAUAGAUCACUGUCCCAGCUGUGUAGCUUGAUGGCACUAUAAAAAUUUGAAAGUACUUCUAUUAAGGUAUCAAGUGCUUCCUUUAAUUUAAUGCUUUCUUAUUUGAAGAUAAAACAAUUAAGUCACUUAUUGAGGAAGCAUCCAGAAAAUAAUGAAUAAAAACAGUAGCAAACAAUCUGAAGCAGCACAAUUCAAAUAUCUUAUUUCAAGACUGGUAGCUACUAUUAUGUAUUCAACACUUUACACAUAGCAAUUGGAUUACUGUCCCCAUAUCUUGUUUUAGCAGCAAAUAAAUGUUGCAUCUAUUUCUAGUAAGCAGACCACUAAAUCUCUACAGAAAUAAAAUAUGGCACUUUGAAGAAACAGGACAGAAAAAGUAUUGACACUUUUGAACUUUAGGAUUACCAAAGGCUCUUGAGAAUACCAUGCACAAUCAAGACAGCCAAUAAAUAGACCAGAGAAUAAAACCAUCCAGAGUUCUCUCUUGAAAAACAUGUGACCAGGUUCAAAUUAUUAUAUUUUAGACACACGA